UGCUUUGCGUAUGUGAUCUUUCAUUAUCGCAAAACGCCACAAUUUUGAUUUUGGCAUUUGGUUUUUGGCAUUGUGCAUGUAAACUAAACGGUGAAAAU